GUGAUCGACACGGGGUGCCCCGCCAGGGGCUGAGAGCACACCCGGAGAACCUGAUCGAGUUCAUGCUCGCGGAGGGAUGUCGUCGAUGCGCUGU
rnacentral:ncRNA from 2 species